GCCUGCAUGGUGUAACGGUUAACACACCUUGUGAUGCUUGUGGUUUAGACUUUCUGCACCUAGGAACUCGCGGGUUCGACUCCCGUGUCGGGCA